rnacentral:misc_RNA from 1 species
ACACUAUAUAGACACACAUAUAAAGAUAUAUUAUGUUUCUCUCUCAAAACCAAACAUGGAAGUAAAACCUAUCAUGAUAUGUUUUGGAUUAAUUUAUCUGGGAGUUCUGCUGCCAAAAUCCUUGUCAGAAGGAAAACAAGAUCAACCAACAGAAACUGCGAACAUGCUCUCAAGUGCCGAACCAAUGGAGCAAGAUGAUAAUGCUCUAAACUCGCAGUCUAAGACAAACGUGAUGCAAAAAACGGAAAGUUCACAGAUUACAGACAUAAACACAGAGUUUCUGUCAAAUAUGAUUGUACCGACAACUCUCAAUAAGGAUCCAUUGAUAGGAGAAACAAUGAAUGAGGAAGCUAUAAACAAAGAAAGAUCUUUCACAAAAGCAACAUCAUCAUUGGAAGAAAACAACAUAUAUAUUAAUGAUAUGUCUAUAACAAAAGAGAAUCAAGGUUUACUUUCUAGUGAGAACCAAAAUCAGUUCACAAACAAUUUCAGUUCAGUACAGCCUUCUACAACAAAAGCUGUCGAAAGAAGACCAUUUGCACUGCAUGUAACUAAUGCAACUGAAACAAGUAUAAGUGUGUCGUGGAACGUAACAGAAAAUAUUAAACAAUUUAUGGUCAGCAUAGAUUGCUGUAACCAGAAGUAUAAGGAUUUUAUAGUCAACACUACCAGUACAACGAUUACAAACCUCACAUGUAGUGGGUGCUGUUAUGAUAUAGCAGUAAAAAGUCUCUAUGGCAAUAAUAAAUCCAGUCAACCAAUAAGUACAACUAAUUAUACUGUACCCAGGAUGCCAAAAGUUGAAGUCAUAGAAAAACCAACUUCAGUUGUGAUUAAAAUUUUUCAAAUGGAUCAAGAUUGUGAGUCUUUGAAAAAUGACCAGAAGUGGGAAGUAACUCAGAGCAAAGAUUCAGAAAGUUGCGUGAUAGAAAAGGCGAAUUUAAAAAUACGUUUUAAUUACAAUUUAACAAUAUGGAGAGAAGUGGAUGUAUGGAAAAGUAAAAAAGAGUUAAUUACCAUCUAUCUUAAAGAACCUAAUGCAGUGAGUGGUUUAUCACACAUAGUUAACCAAGGUGAUAUACAUAUCUACUGGCAGAAACCAAAAAAUUCAAAAGUAAAUUCGUAUCAAAUCACUGUUACUAUUGAGAAUCCAUAUAUAUAUAAUUGCACAAAUACAACUACAAACAUGACUUAUUACAUAAUAAACGACUUUUUACCAGGUACCAAGUACACAGUUGAUGUAUUUGCUAUUAAUUAUAUUGGAACUAGUACCAAAAGUAGCCUAUCUUUUACAACUCCAUCUAAAGUUCCUGGUGUUGUAAACAUCACCAUCAGUGAAGCAACAGCUUUUAAUGUCACUAUUUCCUUAAGUCACCCAGAGACUUUUAUGGGAGACAUCCUUGGGUAUUUUAUUGAGAUUUACAAAGGUCAAAAGAUGCCAACUGAUAAAAAACCACUGAAAAUAUAUCACAUAAAAUGUUAUAACUGUUCACAGGCAAAUGCUUCCAGACCUGACAGCUGUCCUUGUUCCCAACCAUGUAAUAAUAUGCAAGAGAAAACUCUCCACAGCUUGGGAGAACACUUUUCUUUGAAUUCACUGACUCCAGCUACAUCUUACUUAAUAUCAGCCCAAGCUUAUACAUCUGCUGGUUGUGGUAAUAUAAGUGAGAAAAUCUUCAUGACAAAUGAAAGUACUCCAUCUAAAGUGCAAAAUCUUGUUAUUAAUAUAACUGAAACUGAGGCUUAUAUGGAAUGGCAAGAGCCCAAACAUCCUAAUGGAAAAAUACAGUAUUAUUUGCUCUAUCUCUACCAUAAUGAUUCGCUUAGUGUAUUAGGAAAUAGCACUGAAAAGAACUUUGUGUUUGAAAAUCUUGAACCAUAUCAAAAUUAUACAGUCAGUAUCGUUGCCAUGAAUUCCCUGCCAGGUGAAAAAUACACUCGAAAAUUCAAGACAAAGAUUGGUGCACCAGAACCUGUAAACAUCACUCUUGUCAAUAGAACCAGUAAAUCAAUAACUAUAAAGUGGAAAUCCCUGCACCCCAAUGGACCAAUCAAAAAAUAUAUUGUCAGCUGGAAAACUGUAAAAGAAAGUACGCCAAGGUCUAUGAAUACAACUAAGAAAAAUACUUAUACCAUAACUGAUCUUGAACCCUGCAGAGAUUAUAAGAUCAAAGUAGAAAUCUGUAAUACCAAAUAUUGUAAAGACAGUAAAUUAUUUCGUGCACAAACAAAGAUUGGAGUCCCACACCCGGCACGAAAUGUUAAUGCUAAGGCAGAGUCUGCAACAAGCAUUCGUGUCUCUUGGGAGGAACCGAUGCAGUACACAGGACCAACUACAUAUAUCAUUCAGGGACAGUGUUUAAAGUCCUCAAGAAUACUGAAGACUUUUCUUGGGCCAUUCACUGUCUCAGGUUUCAAUAAUACCUCGUUUCUUGUAAAAGACUUAGCAGAAUACUGGCCAUACGUAUUUGAAAUUACAACAAGUACUGAAGCAGGAAAUGGUUCCACAGUAACCACUUCACGCACUCUGACAGAGGAAUCAACGCCUGGACCAGUCAAAAGUUUGGAUAUUUAUGUCAAUUAUUCCUGCUAUAUUGCAUUACUGGUUACGUGGAAGAAACCACUUCCUGAAGAUGAAAAUGGUAUUAUCACUAAAUAUGAAAUAACUUAUUGGGCUGAUAAUGAUGACAAAAAGAAAAUAUGUGUUAAUGCUACUCUGUUCUCAACCAUGAUGAUUGCAUUAGGAGAGCAUAGCUACACAAUACAGAUACGUGCAGAAACUUCAAAAGGAUUAGGUGACACAAGGAACAAAACCGUUUAUGUCAAACCUCAAAUUCCUGUGGUACCAGAUAAUGUGUUUGUUACAAGAUCAAAUGAAGAAGUUGAGGACAGUAGCAGGCAGAUUGCUAUAAACCUGCCCAGUAAGUUCUUUAGAGAUUUCACAUUUGGAAGACCAGUACAAUGGGGCUUGGUCAUUGCUCUGUCUGAAGCUGUUAACGAAAGUGAUCAGGAACAUUCACAACUUUAUCCAAGAGAGCUAAAAGAAUGGAAAGAGGUAUAUGAUAAAGAAACUGCAUAUUCUUACCGACCAACACCAACUGACUGGAAGCCACCUUCUAUUCUGAGUAACGACAUGAACACUAUUUACAUACUUGGCGCUGAAGAGGAUUGUGAAGAUACCAAAAUAUAUUGCAAUGGCUAUUUGAAACCCGACAGAUAUUACCGUGUCAAAGCUUUCAUGUGCACAAAGGGAGGAUGUUCAGCAACCAAGUAUUCAGCACGAAUGCAUACAGAUAAAGACCGUACAGCUAUCUACAUCACAGUUCCAGUCUUGCUAGUAGCUGCUACUGUAGCAAUGAAUAUAGUAUUUAUCAUGUGGCACAAGAAACUCUAUUGUUUCAAGAAAAAACAAAUACCCACAGUUUCAAGUCUUGUUGAUGCCAACCAAAAUGGAAAGGUUAAUCAUUCUUUCAUGAUGAAAAACUCUGAAUAUUCACGACCAAUUAUGUUGGCACAUUUCCACAGCAAAGUGGAAAUGAUGAAAAGAGACUCAAACUUACAGUUUUGUGAAGAAUUUAAGCUGCUAAAGAGUCUCUCCCCUGUGCAACCUCAUGUUGCUGCUGAAUUACAAGUAAACCGCACCAAGAACAGAUAUACCAAUAUCUUGGCAUAUGAUCAUUCUCGAGUCAAGCUGUUACCUAUGGAUGAUGAUGAAGGCUCUGAUUACAUAAAUGCAAAUUACAUACCUGGCUAUAGCCUACACCGAGAGUACAUUGCUUCCCAAGGACCCCUUCCCAGCACAAAGGAUGACUUCUGGCGGAUGAUUUGGGAACAGAAUGUAUCUAUUAUUGUCAUGGUUACAUUGCCUGUGGAACGUGGAAGAGUCAAAUGUGAGGUUUACUGGCCAAAGAAAUCUGAACCAGUUUACUUUGGUGAUCUUGUGGUGCAGCUGAAAUCAGAAUCCAAUCUUUCUGAUUAUGUCAUCAGAAUUAUGGAUGUGAAUAUGGGUGAAACUACAAAAGAAGUGAAACAGUUCCACUUCUUGAAGUGGCCAGAUUUCGGUUGUCCUCAGAAUACAUCAUUGCUGAUCAACUUUGUGCAAACAAUUCGCACACAUAUGCCUUAUACGGAUACUGGACCAACCCUGGUACACUGCAGUGCUGGAGUCGGACGUACAGGAACAUUCAUUGUCAUUGACAGACUGCUUCAACAUAUACAAUGCCAUCAUGAAGUAGAUAUCUUUGGCUUAAUAUUAGAACUGAGAAAGCACAGGCCAAAUAUGGUACAGACUGAGGACCAGUAUGUAUUUAUCUACCAAUGUAUAGCAGAUCAUUUGAAACAAAUGGAGAAAAUUGAAAAUGAAGGUAUUUAUAUGAACGAAACAGGAAUGUGAGAAAAUUAAAUUCAAAGAUUCACAUUUUACUACUGCUGAAAAGAAAUAAUUAACAUCACUGUGCCAGAUUUUUCAUUUGUAUACCAACUUUGAAAUUCGUUUUGCUGCACAAAGUCUGCAUGUGCAUAAAGUAUGUGUGUGUGUGCAUGUAUGAGAGAGAGUGUGUGUGUGUGUGUGUGUGUGUGUGUGUGUAUGCACAUGUAUUCAUGAAUACACA